UGCAUCGGCCGGGAACGAACCCAGGCCGGCCCGCGUGGCAGGCGAGCAUUCUACCACUGAACCACCGAUGG
rnacentral:tRNA from 1 species